CUCUGUUGUUAAAGAGACAAGUGUUAGAGUAACUGUUAACACUUUGACGGUAUUUAACCAGAAAGCCACGGCUAACUACGUGCCAGCAGCCGCGGUAAUACGUAGGUGGCGAGCGUUGUCCGGAUUUAUUGGGCGUAAAGCGAGCGCAGGCGGUUUUGUAAGUCUGCUGUGAAAGCCCUCAGCUCAACUGAGGAAGUGCAGUGGAAACUACAAAACUUGAGUACAGAAGAGGAAAGUGGAACUCCAUGUGUAGCGGUGAAAUGCGUAGAUAUAUGGAAGAACACCAGUGGCGAAGGCGGCUUUCUGGUCUGUUACUGACGCUGAGGCUCGAAAGCAUGGGUAGCGAACAGGAUUAGAUACCCUGGUAGUCCAUGCCGUAAACGAUGAAUACUAGGUGUUGGAGGGUUUCCGCCCUUCAGUGCCGCAGCUAACGCAUUAAGUAUUCCGCCUGGGGAGUACGACCGCAAGGUUGAAACUCAAAGGAAUUGACGGGGGCCCGCACAAGUGGUGGAGCAUGUGGUUUAAUUCGAUGCUACGCGAAGAACCUUACCAGCUCUUGACAUCUUCUGCCAACCCAAGAGAUUGGGCGUUCCCUUCGGGGACAGAAUGACAGGUGGUGCAUGGUUGUCGUCAGCUCGUGUCGUGAGAUGUUGGGUUAAGUCCCGCAACGAGCGCAACCCUUAUUAUUAGUUGCCAGCAUUUAGUUGGGCACUCUAGUGAGACUGCCGGUGAUAAACCGGAGGAAGGUGGGGACGACGUCAAAUCAUCAUGCCCCUUAUGAGCUGGGCUACACACGUGCUACAAUGGAUGGUACAACGAGUCGCGAAACCGCGAGGUCAAGCUAAUCUCUUAAAGCCAUUCUCAGUUCGGAUUGCAGGCUGCAACUCGCCUGCAUGAAGUUGGAAUCACUAGUAAUCGUGGAUCAGCAUGCCACGGUGAAUACGUUCCCGGGCCUUGUACACACCGCCCGUCACACCAUGAGAGUUUGUAACACCCAAAGAC
rnacentral:rRNA from 2 species